rnacentral:SRP_RNA from 1 species
GCCAGGCGUGGUGACGCACACCUGUAAACCCAGCUAUUUGGGAGGCUGAGGCAGAAGAAUCACUUGAACCCAGGAGGCAUAGGUUGCAGUGAGCCGAGAUCCCACCACUGCAUUCCAGCCUGGGUGACAGAGUGAGAUUCUGUCUCCA